rnacentral:siRNA from 1 species
UUGGUUACUCCCUAACUCGGGACAC